UACGUAGGGUGCGAGCGUUGUCCGGAAUUACUGGGCGUAAAGAGCUCGUAGGUGGUUUGUCGCGUUGUUCGUGAAAACUCACAGCUCAACUGUGGGCGUGCGGGCGAUACGGGCAUCACUGGAGUUCGGCAGGGGAGACUGGAAUUCCUGGUGUAGCGGUGAAAUGCGCAGAUAUCAGGAGGAACACCGGUGGCGAAGGCGGGUCUCUGGGCCGAUACUGACGCUGAGGAGCGAAAGCGUGGGGAGCGAACAGG
rnacentral:rRNA from 1 species